UACGGAGGAUCCGAGCGUUAUCCGGAUUUAUUAGGUUUAAAGGGUACGUAGGCUGCUAUGUAAGUCAGGGGUGAAAUACACGGGCUUAACCUGUGUGCUGCCCUUGAUACUGCGUGGCUAGAGUUGUUACGGGGCAAGCGGAAUGUGCGGAGUAGCGGUGAAAUGCAUAGAUACCGCACAGAACACCGAUAGCGAAGGCAGCUUGCCAGAUACACACUGACGCUGAGGUACGAAAGCGUGGGUAGCGAACAGG
rnacentral:rRNA from 1 species